GCCCGGAACUCACGUGCUGCAAUCAAACCAGGAGCCUCAAACACCCGAGGCAAGCACUCUGCCACUGAAUUACAGCGCAGAAGAAAAGUGGCUACAGUCCUUGAAGAGAUAACGGGGACUUCAGCCAAGUUUCCUGUACAAGUGGCUCACAGGUUAAACAACAGGUGCACCAGAGUCAUGUACAGGAGUCUUUCCUCACCAGGCCCACUGACACUGACUGGGAAACGAAGGACUUCGUUGUAAAUACCAAGGAAGUCAUGUCACAAAGAGGUAUAAAAAGGCUUUUCAAAAAAAUACCGUACAGUUUCAGUUCAUACUGCCUUAGCACGUGUGUCUUUCUGAUAGUGAUGCCAGUUGGUUUGUAAAAGCACAGCACUUUAGGAAACAGCGUUCUCUUUAGAUACACGGUGAAUGCCACUGCAGCG
rnacentral:lncRNA from 1 species